rnacentral:rRNA from 1 species
UGAAUACGAGAUGCUACGGCGUCGAAGCAGUCUAUGUCAUACUUCCAAGAAAAGCUUGCACUGUCAUAAACAAAUAAUGCCUGUACCAUAACCGACACAGGUGGGUAGGUAGAGUAUACUAAGGGGCGCGAGAUAACUCUCUCUAAGGAACUCAGCAAAAUGACUCCGUAACUUCGGGAGAAGGAGUGCCUUAUUUUAUAAGGUUGCAAUAACAAGAUCCAAGCAACUGUUUACCAAAAACACAGGUCUCCGCUAAGUCGUAAGACGAUGUAUGGGGGCUGACGCCUGCCCAGUGCCAGAAGGUUAAAGAAGUUGGUUAGCAUCCGCGAAGCUGAUAACUGAAGCCCUGGUGAACGGCGGCCGUAACAAUAACGGUCCUAGGUAGCGAAAUUCCUUGUCGGGUAAGUUCCGACCCGCACGAAAGGCGUAAUGAUUUGGAUACUGUCUCAGAGAGGGGCUCGGUGAAAUAGACUUGUCUGUGAAGAUGCGGACUACCUGCACCAGGACAGAAAGACCCUAUGAAGCUUUACUGUAACUUGAAAUUGAAAUUGGACUUUACUUGCGCAGUAUAGGUGGGAGGCGUUGAGAAUAUUCUUGCGGGAAUGUUGGAGCCAUCAGUGAGAUACCACUCUUGUAAUGUUAGAUUUCUAACUUUGUAUCAUUAUCUGGUCAAAGGACAGUUUCAGGCGGACAGUUUGACUGGGGCGGUCGCCUCCCAAACGGUAACGGAGGCGCACAAAGGUUUCCUCUGAACGGGUAGAAAUCGUAUCUAGAGUGUAAAGGCAUAAGGAAGCUUGACUGUGAGACCUACAAGUCGAGCAGGGACGAAAGUCGGUCUUAGUGAUCUGACGGUGCUGAGUGGAAAGGCCGUCACUCAACGGAUAAAAGUUACUCUAGGAUAACAGGCUGAUCUCCCCCAAGAGUUCACAUCGACGGGGAGGUUUGGCACCUCGAUGUCGGCUCAUCGCAUCCUGGGGCGGUAGUACGUCCCAAGGGUUGGGCUGUUCGCCCAUGAAAGCGGUACGCGAGCUGGGUUCAGAACGUCGUGAGACAGUUCGGUCCAUAUCCGGUGUAGGCGUUAGAAUAUUGAGAGGAGCCUUCUUUAGUACGAGAGGACCGAGAAGGACAUACCUCUGGUGUACCAGUUAUCGUGCCAACGGUAAACGCUGGGUAGCUAUGUAUGGAGUGGAUAACCGCUGAAAGCAUCUAAGUGGGAAGCCCACCUCAAGAUAAG